GGGCGUAUAGCUCAGCUGGUUAGAGCGCAGUCCUGAUAAGACUGAGGUCCUUGGUUCGAGUCCAAGUAUGCCCA
rfam:Candidatus Roizmanbacteria bacterium RIFCSPLOWO2_02_FTLL_43_10 rifcsplowo2_02_scaffold_7750, whole genome shotgun sequence.